AUAUUACACGCUACUCAAGAGCAUGAAAAUCAGGAGGUGAGAAUCACUGGAGGACAUCUUGGAGAUUGGCUACCAUAGCCUGGAUUAAGAGAAGGAAAAAACCAGAAAGAUCAUAGGGACAAAUCUACACAAAAAUUAAUUGGCAUGGCUCAGGAUGGGUGGGGGUGAGUGGUUCAGGACCAAGGAUAUGAACAAUAUAAUGGAGACAGGUCAUACUCUGUGUGGCUAUGGGUGUGUGGUUAAAGGUAGGGAUAUAUGACAUGAGGUAUCUCUCUAUAUGGACAAAUUUUCUUUGGAAACUUGAAUUCUCAGUGUGAAAGACUAGAUGAAUGUAGAGAGCAUGGAUAGCAUUCAGCUUAAAUAUACAGAUGGGGGAAAUGUAUAAAUGAAGCAAAUUCUUCAGAAUAAAGUUUAAAAGUUAACAAUCUGGUCAGCAAAAGAUACAAAAGACAAUAUAUUUCCGAUAAUGCCAACAACUAGACUAAGAGAUGAUGUCACAAAAUGGAAUCUGCAAUUCAAGUAGAAAUAAAAGAUGUUGUGGUAAUGAGAAAGUAAUAAAGACCUGGUUUGAUCUUCAAGGAGAAAUACAAACCACUGCUCAAGGAAAUAAAAGAGGAUACAAACAAAUGGAAGA
rnacentral:lncRNA from 1 species